rnacentral:lncRNA from 1 species
AGAAGAUUGCCUCUAAUUUCCAAGGAGCUUAAAAAGUGCCAGGGACUGUGAAGGGAAGGUGAGAAUGAGCAGUCCAGUCUUCAUGUCGUCAUCCGUCCUCACUGCUCUACGGGGAAGCUGCCAUCCCUUCUGCCCUGGUCUUGGUCCAUGUUCUUCAGUGGAGAAGCAAGACUUCCCCAGGUCCUGCUCCAUCUUAGAGACUGUUCCCUUCCUCCCUGGAAGUUCUCUGCUUCUUUAUUAUUCCAGGCAUUGUCUGGGCUUUUUUGCAGACACCCACCAGCAUCUAAGCCCUCUUCGUUCUUUCUCAACUUUCUUCUUCAGAGGCACAACAGAAAUUGACCCGUUAUGCUUUCAAAUCUAUUUUCUAAAUUUGGACUUUAACUUUGAGUUACAA